GGUGUGGGGAAUGUUGUCUAGGCUCGAGAAGGCUACUUCAAAACUUUGAGUCGAUAUUUUUUUCGGACUAGGCUUCAUUCCCCUCACU